rnacentral:lncRNA from 1 species
UCUUCUUGGCUCUCCUGAACUCAUCAUCCCGAUGGUCAAUCAUUUUUCAAGCUUCUCAAAGAGCCUCUUCAGAGGAGUUGGUUUUUUUGACCAACUCAGAGUUAGUUGACUCUAUUUGCUUCAAACAAUAUUUUAGCGAAUCUAUCUCCUCUCUCACUGCAGCAAGCUCACAUUGAGGCUUCGAAGGUAAAGUCAACGAAACUAGCCAAAUAAUGCCUAACCUAUACAAAUUUGUAUGCAAUCAUGAGGUACUGCAAGUCAUGGAAGAUUAAAAGAAGAGAUCUGAAGACAUUCUAUCUGAGCAAG